AUGACAUCAGAAAGAUUUUUAACAUUAUUCAAAGCAGUAAUAGGGAGCUAGGUGAGAGGCAGGAUCAGACAGGCAAUCAUCAACAACAUACUCUGAAUUUAAGAAUGACCACCACACAGUAAGAGAACUGGAAUUUGGAGGAAAACUUCAGCUCUGUGUGUGUUAGCCAGAGUGAUGUCAAUCAACUAAAGGUCUCAAAGCUGAGAGACAACUUGCAUGGGAAAAGAUCAACAGAAAAAUCUGAAACAUCAGGAGAACUUUCACACAGAAAACUAACAAAGAAAUUCUGGACUUAAACUUGACACUUGCCCAGUUGGUCUUAAUAGACAUCUAAAGAAUACUCCACCCAACAACUACAGAAUAUAUAUUCGUCUCAUCUGCAGACACAACAUACUUUAAAAAUGACUGCAUGUUUGGUCAGAGAGUCUCAACAAAUUUGGAAAAAUUAAAAUUAUACCCAACAUAUUCUCAGGUCGAAUGAAAUGCAAAUAGAAAUUACUGCCAAGAGGAAUUCUCAAAACCACACAAAUACGUGGAAAUUAAACACAUUGAUCCUGAAUGACCUUUGUAAAGCAAGAAAAUUAAGGCAAAAAUCAAAAAAUUAUUUGAAAAAAACAAAAAUUGUGACACAGUGUAACAAAACCUGUGAUAUUGCAAAAGAAGUGAUAAGAUUUGUAGCACUAAAUGCCUACAUCAAGAAAAUAGAAAUAUCUUGUUAACAACCUAACAUUACACCUAAAGAAAUAGAGAAAGAAGAACUAAAUUCUAAAUGAAGAACCCAGUUCUAGCAGAAGAAAAGAAAGAAUUAAAAUCAGAACAGAACUAAGUGAAAUUGAGAUAAAGAAAACUAUUCAAAGGAUCAACAAAAUGAAAAGUUUGUUUUUUGAAAGGAUAAACAAAAUUGAUAGACUGCUAGAUAAACAAAGGAAAAAAAGAAGAUCCAAAUAAGCACAAUCAGAUAUGACAAAGGUAACAUUACAACUGAUCUCGCAGAAAUAUAAAAGAUCCUCAGAGAUUACUAUGAACAUCUCUAUGCACACAACUAGAAAAUCUAGAGGAAAUAGAUAAAUUCCUGGAAAUAUACAACCUCCCAAGAUUGAAUCUGGAAGAAAAAGACACCCUAAAGAGACCAGUAAUGAGUUACAAAAUUGAAUAAGUAAUAAUAAAAAACUUACUAACCAGAAAAGCACCGGACCAGAUGGAUUUACAGCCAAAUUAUACCAGAUGUACAAAGAAGCAUCAUCAGAGUAAGAAUAAGGCAAAAUGGUUCAAGGUUUCUCCUCUCUUCCAAGGAAGUGGAAUAAUUGACUUUCACAAUCUCCCUGAUUUGAAAAACCAUAUUAUAACGUGAAUAGGUGAUUUAAAAGGACAAUCAUCUGAACUGGGAUGUGAGAUUCUGAGGUACUCUUUAAGUAUGCUAGGUAACUUCUUAUCAAC
rnacentral:lncRNA from 1 species